CCCUUAGAUGUUCUGGGCCGCACGCGCGCUACACUGACGAAUGCAACGAGCUUAUAACCUUGGCCGAAAGGUCUGGGUAAUCUCCAAAUUUCGUCGUGAUGGGGAUAGAUUAUUGCAAUUAUUAAUCUUCAACGAGGAAUGCCUAGUAAGCGCAAGUCAUCAGCUUGCGUUGAUUACGUCCCUGCCCUUUGUACACACCGCCCGUCGCUCCUACCGAUUGAAUGGUCCGGUGAAGCGUUCGGACCGUGGCCUUUGGACGGUUCGCCGUCUGUUGGCUGCGGGAAGUUCGUUAAACCUUAUCAUGUAGAGGAAGGAGAANUCGUANCA
rnacentral:rRNA from 1 species